rnacentral:sRNA from 1 species
CGCCUCCUCCUUGUUUCUUCCGCACCCCCGGGACUCCUUCCCCCAUCCCGGAUCCCUCCCUGUGUUCCCUCCCACUCACCCUCCCCAGCCUGAUGCCAGCCUGUCCCCCCAGAUCAUGAACAAGGGCAGGCUGUUGAAGGCGGGACGCCAGGUGCGAGAGCCCGGCCAGGACCUGGUGGUGCUGCCCCUGUCCAUCACCACCGACUUCAUCCCUUCCUUCCGCCUGGUGGCGUACUACACGCUGAUCGGCGCCAGCGGCCAGAGGGAGGUGGUGGCCGACUCCGUGUGGGUGGACGUCAAGGACUCCUGCGUGGGCUCGCUGGUGGUAAAAAGCGGCCAGUCAGAAGACAGGCAGCCUGUACCUGGGCAGCAGAUGACCCUGAAGAUAGAGGGUGACCACGGGGCC